rnacentral:snRNA from 1 species
GUGCUUGCUCAGGUAGCACAUACUAAAAUUGGAAUGAUAGAGAGCUUAGCAUGGCCUCUGUGCAAGGAUGACAUGCAAAUGUGUGAAGUGUUCCAUAUUUUA